UAUAAUGCCAACAGCUGAAAACAACCAAAAUGAACAAGAGAAUCAACAUGAGAACCGCGGUGUGUUACAACUGCUACAGAGCAAUGAAAAGGAACAAACCACGAUUACACCAAUGAGGAUGAGGCUCCCAGACUUAAUGCUACCAUUUGUCAAACCGACUACGUGGCAAGCACUGUGCUAAAAACUGGUCUCUGAAGUAUUAUUCCACAAGUACAGACUGAACAUGAACGUGGGGCGAACCCUUCACAAGACACAGGGUAUCUCCUCAUCACUCACUGUCCCGUGAAGCUCACAUCUUCUUAGAGGAACAGAGUAAGAGCUAUGGAGAAGAGCAGCAUGGAGGUAGCGAUAAACCACUUGCCGGAAAUUACACAGAAGCGUGGAUUCUUUGGGUGUCUCUCAUGGGCCCUGCCUGGCAACACGGUAGAUGGUAGCAAACAUCAGUCCAGUGAACGAAUACCACUGGAUACUCACAAGAUCCUAUAAGGUACCUGCUGAUACAAACAGCUGCGGUGAGGCUGAGCACCAGGCCCACGUCGCAGGAGGCACGGAGGGUGGCACCCAUGCACACCCUCCAGGGUAGAGCGCUCUCUCCCCUAAGGCUCAGUCGCUGCCACCGCCCUUCCCUUGUGCCACCACGUGGAUUUAAAACCCACGCGGCCACCCGGCUCCUGCCCCUCUUCCGCCAUUGGGCAAGGCCGCCCGCACUUGUGUCCAAUCGAAUAGGGGCUCCCAGAAUGCAAACUUGGGAUUGGCUCGUCCGCUGUGUCAUUUCGUGCUGCUCCUGACGUCAGCGGUGUCUGGCACCCCCGCCUCUUCCGCGUCUUAACUGGAGUUAAAGGAGCCGCACGGGAGAAGACGUGCAUGUUGCUUCAGAGGCACUUUCAAGUAACCUUUAAAUGUUUUUUUAAAAAAUAACGUUAAUUGUAAAAAAUACAGCAAACCAUAUAAGAGAAAUGUUAAUUUCACUUAAUCCAUUACAUAAAACUAGCUGCUGUUAACAUUUUGGCAUGUAUCAUUUAGUCUUUUUUUCUAAUAAUAUAAUUUUAUUUGUACAAAACUGGGAUCAGUUCUGAAGCCCAUUUUAAAAUUUACUUUAAAAGAAGUCCAAGAAGGGCUUCUUUCUAUAUUGUCAAAUAAUCUUUGAAAGCAUGUUUUAAACAGUUGUGUUAUAUUUGGUCUUCAUGAUUCAACCAAUCCCUUAUAUUUUUUUCUUAAUUUCAUUGAAUUUUGCUUUUCCAAAUGAAAAUAAAUAGGAUCAAGUUCUCUGA